UGCAGAAUCCCGUGAACCAUCGAGUCUUUGAACGCAAGUUGCGCCCGAAGCCUCUUGGCCAAGGGCACGUCUGCCUGGGUGUCACAC
rnacentral:rRNA from 1 species